AAUAGAUACCCCGGUAGUCCACGCCGUAAACGAUGAGUGCUAAGUGUUAGGGGGUUUCCGCCCCUUAGUGCUGCAGCUAACGCAUUAAGCACUCCGCCUGGGGAGUACGGUCGCAAGACUGAAACUCAAAGGAAUUGACGGGGGCCCGCACAAGCGGUGGAGCAUGUGGUUUAAUUCGAAGCAACGCGAAGAACCUUACCAGGUCUUGACAUCCCGCUGACCGGUCUAGAGAUAGAUCUUUCCCUUCGGGGACAGCGGUGACAGGUGGUGCAUGGUUGUCGUCAGCUCGUGUCGUGAGAUGUUGGGUUAAGUCCCGCAACGAGCGCAACCCUUGAUCUUAGUUGCCAGCAUUCAGUUGGGCACUCUAAGGUGACUGCCGGUGAUAAACCGGAGGAAGGUGGGGAUGACGUCAAAUCAUCAUGCCCCCUUAUGACCUGGGCUACACACGUGCUACAAUGGACGGUACAGAGGGUCGCAACCUCGCGAGGGUGAGCUAAUCCCAUAAAACCGUUCUCAGUUCGGAUUGUAGGCUGCAACUCG
rnacentral:rRNA from 1 species